rnacentral:rRNA from 1 species
AUGGCAGGGGCACUAGCGGAGUACAAAGUCAGUCUGGCUCAACUGUACAUCAUGGGAAAAGCUGAUGUUUGGUUACAUAGCUCGGGCAUACCGAAGAAGCAAUUAACGUGGUCUCAAUUCUGUGAAGAAAUACUACGCAGGUUUUCAUCAGCAAGUUCAUAUGAUCUGACAGAGAAGUUCACUAACUUGAAACAGAAUAAUCUCACUGUGUCUGAAUACACAGAUCAGUUUGAGGAGCUUAUGGCAGAAGUGCAGGCAGAAAACCCAAUAAUUGACGAGAGUUGGUUUAUACGAUGCUAUGUAAAUUGUCUUCGUUCUCACAUCAAGUUUCAAGUGCGUCCACUAUGGCCUGUUUCACUCACUGAAGCUUAUUGGUUAGCUGUGGAUCUAGAAAGAGCACUACCUGAGAAGAAAUCUUACAGUUCAUAUGCAGGCAAUGGCAAGAGCUCAGGCAGCUACCAGAAAGUAUCCACUCCUGCUCCUAUAAAAGCAACUGAACCUAAACAACCUGUAGUGAAUCAAAGGGCUCGAGAGCCAGGCAAAUGCUGGAGAUGUGGAGAUGUGUGGUUUCAUGGUCACAAAUGUAAACUUGCACCUGUCCUGAAUGUCCUUACAGGUGAAGAACCCACUGAACAACCAACAGGGCAGGAAGUUCUAGAGGAAAAUGAACUUGAAGAGCAACCACAGACUGAAGAAAAAUGUAUGACCAUUUCUGCACAGGCAAUGCAGUCAGAUAAUGUCAACACAAUCUCAAUCUUGGUGCAGAUUGGAGGAAAGCAAGGAAUUGCACUUGUAGAUUCAGGGAGCAACUCCACCUUCAUCAGCCUUAAGUUUGCAUUGUCUACAAAUUGCACCAUCCUCAAAGACACUUCCAGAGCUGUAACUGUUGCAGGUGGGGGCACAUUGUGGUUUGGUGCUUUUGUUCCCACAACCACUUUUGUAGCUGGCAAUACCAAAUUUGCACAGCAGUUCAGAGUGCUUGAUCUCCCUGGUCAUGAUAUGGUACUUGGAAGUGAUUGGAUGGCCAACCACAGUCCUGUCUCCUUCCACUACAACCCCAUACAAAUUAAUGUUAUGCAAAACAAGCUCACACCUACCACUAUCAAAGCUUGUGACACCAUAGCAGAAGCCACACCAAUUGAAGCUGCUGAAGUGGAUAAGCUCAUGCAUCUCUCCAGCAUCUCAAGACAAACUUGUCGGUUGCUCAAGCCCGCAUGA